UAAUUUACUUGAUCUUGACAAUCUACUUGGAUAACUGUGGUAAUUCUAGAGCUAAUACAUGCACCAAAGCUCCGACUUCGGGAGGAGCGCAUUUAUUAGAACAAAACCAAGCGGCUUCGGCCGUUUUAUGUUGAAUCAAAAUAACUAAGCUGAUCGCAUGGUCUUGUACCGGCGACGUGUCUUUCAAGUAUCUGCCUUAUCAACUUUCGAUGGUAGUGUAUCUGACUACCAUGGUGGUGACGGGUAACGGAGGAUAAGGGUUCGACUCCGGAGAAGGGGCCUGAGAAAUGGCCACUACGUCUAAGGAUGGCAGCAGGCGCGCAAAUUACCCACUCUCAGUUCGAGGAGGUAGUGACGAGAAAUAACGAGACCGUUCUCUUUCGAGGCCGGUCAUCGGAAUGGGUACAAUUUAAACCCUUUAACGAGUAUCUAUGAGAGGGCAAGUCUGGUGCCAGCAGCCGCGGUAAUUCCAGCUCUCAAAAUGCAUAGAAUUAUUGCUGCGGUUAAAAAGCUCGUAGUUGGAUCUGUGCUGGCCUCUCGGUCCGCCUUCGGGUGUGCACUGUUGAGGUUGGCUUUCCUGCUGGUUUUCCUGGUGUUGGGCCCUGCUCUUCAUCAGUGACUAGCGAGUUUACUUUGAACAAAUCAGAGUGCUUCAAACAGGCGUUUCGCUUGAAUGUUCGUGCAUGGAAUAAUAGAAGAGGAUUUCGGUUCUAUUUUAUUGGUUUUAUAGACUGAGAUAAUGGUUAAAAGAGACAAACGGGGGCAUUCGUAUUGCUGCGUGAGAGGUGAAAUUCUUGGACCGUAGCAAGACGAACUACAGCGAAGCAUUUGCCAAGAAUGUCUUCAUUAAUCAAGACGAAAGUCAGAGGUUCGAAGCGAUCAGAUACCGCCCUAGUUCUGACCGUAAACGAUGCCAACUAGCGAUCCGCCGGUGGAUUCUUUGCCCUGGUGGGGAGCUUCCCGGAAACGAAAGUCUUCCGGUUCCGGGGGAAGUAUGGUUGCAAAGCUGAAACUUAAAGGAAUUGACGGAAGGGCACCACCAGGAGUGGAGCCUGCGGCUUAAUUUGACUCAACACGGGGAAACUCACCCGGCCCGGACACCGUAAGGAUUGACAGAUUGAUAGCUUUUUCAUGAUUCGGUGGAUGGUGGUGCAUGGCCGUUCUUAGUUCGUGGAGCGAUUUGUCUGGUUUAUUCCGAUAACGAGCGAGACUCUAGCCUAUUAAAUAGUUUACCCAUUGCCUCUGUGGGCAGAACUUCUUAGAGGGAUUUUCGGUGUUCAACCGCACGAAAUUGAGCAAUAACAGGUCUGUGAUGCCCUUAGAUGUCCGGGGCUGCACGCGCGCUACACUGGUAAAAUCAGCGUGCUUGUCCUUCCCCGAAAGGGGUUGGUAAACCCUUGAAAAUUUGCCGUGAUUGGGAUCGGAAAUUGCAAUUAUUUUCCGUGAACGAGGAAUUCCAAGUAAGUGCGAGUCAUCAACUCGCGUUGAUUACGUCCCUGCCCUUUGUACACACCGCCCGU
rnacentral:rRNA from 1 species